UACGUAGGGUGCAAGCGUUGUCCGGAAUUAUUGGGCGUAAAGAGCUCGUAGGCGGCUUGUCGCGUCGGCUGUGAAAACCUGGGGCUCAACCCCGGGCCUGCAGCCGAUACGGGCAAGCUAGAAUUCGGUAGGGGAGACUGGAAUUCCUGGUGUAGCGGUGAAAUGCGCAGAUAUCAGGAAGAACACCGAUGGCGAAGGCAGAUCUCUGGGCCGUAACUGACGCUGAGGAGCGAAAGCAUGGGGAGCGAACAGG
rnacentral:rRNA from 1 species